ensembl:snRNA U2 U2 spliceosomal RNA
AUCACUUCUCGGCCUUUUGGCUAAGAUCAAGUGUGAACUCUGUGGGUCUACUUACAUGUGAACCUUUUUAAAGUAAGUACAGUACAGUACACUGUUAAUGUAUUUUCUCUUCCUUAUGAUUUUCUUAACAUUCUUUU